GGAACUGCAGUCAGUGACUGCUUUGUGAAGAAGAAAGAGUCAGUGCUCUGAGGAACUGCUCAUGAGAAACACCAAGAAGCUUGCCGCCUCAGCAAUGAGCGACUCUUAACUCCUUGUCCUGUAGAAGGCCUGAACCUGACUGAAUGCACAAAAAUUCACUGCUGUCCUUUCAGAAUUGGCCAGGAGGAACAGUGCUACAUGCCAGUGAGAGAUGAUGUGCAGCUGGCCAUUCGAGUGGUUUUGAUUACCGGAGGAGGAUUUUUGUUUUUGGGAUUUCUACCAUUCUGUUGCUGUGCCCUUUUGCAGAGAAGUCCUUGUGUCAAUCCUUUACAAAAGAUCAGCAAAAAAGUACAGAAAAUUGCACGGGAAAAAAGAGCUGCUGAAAAAAAGAGCCGUGAUGAAGAGAUCCAUCGCCACUUACUGGACUGACCUAAAGAACCAAAAGAACCAAAAAGGAAGGAGCAUCCACCUGAUCCUGAAAAUCAAGCAGAAGUCACCAGGAUUAUUUGGCUCUCUCCUAGAAAAGGACACGUUUUAUUUUAGCAUUGGAGUAAUACAAAGUUGUUAACCCUUGAUAAUAUUAUUGAUUUUGCAAUUAAAGUUUUUUUCAUUCUAGUUUCUUGUACUCAUUCCAUACCUCCUGUACAAAAAAACAACCUGGUAACACUGGGAGGAAAAACUGCUCAUGGCAACCCCUGAAUAGUGAAGUCAGUGUUCUUUUCAUCCACAGCAUCCCUGUGGAGGGAUAUAAGGAGAGCAGUUAUGUGUCCAUCUGAACUUAGGGGUCAGCCUUAGAAAAAGAUUAAGGGAGUGCUGUCACUCAUUCAAUUGGUAUUGAGAGGAAGCUUGCUCUGGUUCUAUACUGGAUGGCCCCAUAGCACAGUAGUGCUACUCUGGCUGAGGAGAAAGCUAAUUCCUUACCAGGCUACAGAGGAAUUGGGAAAUCUGCUGUUGGGCAACUGCUUUAAAGAUAUGCUUGGCAAAAAUAUAGAGCACUUAAGGAAACUGUGAGAGUGUUGUCUCUGGAGUUGUUCUCUCUGCUGGUUAUUGCUGCACCACACAACUUUUUUUGAUCCUAGGAUGACCUGUCUCCUGAAGUAGGUGAUUCCAAAAUGCAAUUUCUUUCCAUUUCUCUGUAGUGUAACAAAAAUAAAAGAAAUAAAUGUGUAACACUUUUUGACAGCUGAGUGCAGAGUGAGCACCUGAAAGAAUGUCAGUGGAAGUCAAUAUCACCCAUAAUAACACAAUCACCUGUCAUAUUUCUUUGGGGCUGUGAAGUCCAUGCAGCAGAAUUUCCAAGAGCUGCAACUGGCAGGAAUGGAGCUUUGGUCCUAAGCUGGAGAGUAA